rnacentral:rRNA from 1 species
UGACCGGCGAACGGGUGCGUAACACGUGAGCGACCUUCCGUCUUCUGGGGGAUAGCCGGCCCAACGGCCGGGUAAUACCGCAUACGCUCGGUGCGCCACAUGGCGUGUCGAGGAAACUUCCGGGGGAGGACGAGGGGCUCGCGGCCUAUCAGCUAGUUGGGGGGGUAACGGCCUCCCAAGGCGACGACGGGUAGCUGGUCUGAGAGGAUGGCCAGCCACAUUGGGACUGAGAGACGGCCCAG